rnacentral:misc_RNA from 1 species
GAUGAAGAACGUAGCGAAAUGCGAUACUUGGUGUGAAUUGCAGAAUCCCGUGAACCAUCGAGUCUUUGAACGCAAGUUGCGCCCGAAGCCAUCAGGUUGAGGGCACGUCUGCCUGGGCGUCACAUAUCGUUGCCCAAUGCCUAUUGCAGUGCAAUAGGAAUUUCUAGGGCGAAUGAUGGCUUCCCGUGAGCGUUGUUGCCUCGCGGUUGGUUGAAAAUCGAGUCCUUGGUAGGGUGUGCCAUGGUAGAUGGUGGUCGAGUUAGAACGAUACCGAUCAUGUGCAUGCUCCCCAAAAUAUGGCCUCUAUGACCCACAUGCGUCUUUUGACGCUCAUGACGAGACCUCAGGUCAGGCGGGGCUACCCGCUGAAUUUAAGCAUAUCAAUAAGCGGAGGA